UACAGAGGCGGCAAGCGUUGUUCGGAAUUAUUGGGCGUAAAGAGCACGUAGGCGGCUGUGUAAGUCGGUUGUGAAAGCCUUCCGCUUAACGGAAGAACGGCAUCCGAUACUGCAUAGCUCGAGUGCGGGAGGGGAGAGUGGAACUUCUGGUGGAGCGGUGAAAUGCGUAGAUAUCAAGAGGAACACCUGAGGUGAAGACGGGUUGCUGGGCUGACACUGACGCUGAGGCGCGAAAGCUAGGGUAGCAAAC
rnacentral:rRNA from 1 species